rnacentral:rRNA from 1 species
AACGAACGCUGGCGGCAUGCCUAACACAUGCAAGUCGAACGAGACCUUCGGGUCUAGUGGCGCACGGGUGCGUAACGCGUGGGAAUCUGCCCUUCGGUUCGGAAUAACUCAGGGAAACUUGAGCUAAUACCGGAUAAUGACGUAAGUCCAAAGAUUUAUCGCCGAAGGAUGAGCCCGCGUAGGAUUAGCUUGUUGGUGGGGUAAUGGCCCACCAAGGCGACGAUCCUUAGCUGGUCUGAGAGGAUGAUCAGCCACACUGGGACUGAGACACGGCCCAGACUCCUACGGGAGGCAGCAGUGGGGAAUAUUGGACAAUGGGCGAAAGCCUGAUCCAGCAAUGCCGCGUGAGUGAUGAAGGCCUUAGGGUUGUAAAGCUCUUUACCCGGGAUGAUAAUGACAGUACCGGGAGAAUAAGCUCCGGCUAACUCUGUGCCAGCAGCCGCGGUAAU